rnacentral:rRNA from 1 species
AUAGAACCUACCUUUUACUGGAGAAUAGCCCAGAGAAAUUUGGAUUAAUGCUCCAUAGUAUCAUUUUUUGGCAUCAUUAGGUGAUUAAAGAUUUAUCGAUAUAAGAUGGCUAUGCGUUCUAUUAGCUAGUUGGUAAGGUAACGGCUCACCAAGGCGACGAUAGAUAGGGGUCCUGAGAGGGAGAUCCCCCACACUGGUACUGUGACACGGACCAGACUCCUACGGGAGGCAGCAGUGAGGAAUAUUGGACAAUGGAGGCAACUCUGAUCCAGCCAUGCCGCGUGCAGGAAGACUGCCCUAUGGGUUGUAAACUGCUUUUAUAGAGGAAGAAACCGCUCUACGUGUAGGGCUCUGACGGUACUCUACGAAUAAGGAUCGGCUAACUCCGUGCCAGCAGCCGCGGUAAUACGGAGGAUCCAAGCGUUAUCCGGAAUCAUUGGGUUUAAAGGGUCCGUAGCGGGUUUGUAAGUCAGUGGUGAAAGUUUUCGG